rnacentral:rRNA from 1 species
GACGAACGCUGGCGGCGUGCUUAACACAUGCAAGUCGAACGGAAAGGCCCUGCUUUUGUGGGGUGCUCGAGUGGCGAACGGGUGAGUAACACGUGAGUAACCUGCCCUUGACUUUGGGAUAACUUCAGGAAACUGGGGCUAAUACCGGAUAGGAGCUCCUGCUGCAUGGUGGGGGAUGGAAAGUUUCGGCGGUUGGGGAUGGACUCGCGGCUUAUCAGCUUGUUGGUGGGGUAGUGGCUUACCAAGGCUUUGACGGGUAGCCGGCCUGAGAGGGUGAACGGCCACCUUGGGACUGAGAUACGGACCAGUCUCCUACGGGAGGCAGCAGUGGGGAAUAUUGCACAAUGGGGGGAAGCCUGAUGCAGCAACGCCGCGUGCGGGAUGACGGCCUUCGGGUUGUAAACCGCUUUCGCCUGUGACGAAGCGUGAGUGACGGUAAUGGGUAAAGAAGCACCGGCUAACUACGUG